GACGAACGCUGGCGGCGUGCUUAGCACAUGCAAGUCGAACGUGAUUUUUGUGGAAAGCCCUUCGGGGACGGAAGCGAAAUGAAAGUGGCGAACGGGUGAGUAACACGUGAGCAACCUACCUUACACAGGGGGAUAGCCGUUGGAAACGACGAUUAAUACCGCAUGAGACCACAGUACUGCAUGGUAUAGGGGUCAAAGAUUUAUCGGUGUAAGAUGGGCUCGCGUCUGAUUAGCUAGUUGGAAGGGUAAAGGCCUACCAAGGCAACGAUCAGUAGCCGGUCUGAGAGGAUGAACGGCCACAUUGGAACUGAGACACGGUCCAAACUCCUACGGGAGGCAGCAGUGGGGAAUAUUGCACAAUGGGGGGAAACCCCUGAUGCAGCGACGCCCGCGUGAGCGAAAGAAAGGUUUUUCGGAAUUCG
rnacentral:rRNA from 1 species